rnacentral:rRNA from 1 species
GACGAACGCUGGCGGCGUGCUUAACACAUGCAAGUCGAACGGAAAGGCCCUGCUUGUGUGGGGUGCUCGAGUGGCGAACGGGUGAGUCACACGUGUGUUACCUGCCCUUGACUUUGGGAUAACUUCAGGACACUGGGGCUAAUCCCGGAUAGGAGCUCCUGCUGCAUGGUGGGGGUUGGAAAGUUUCGGCGGUUGGGGAUGGACUCGCGGCUUAUCAGCUUGUUGGUGGGGUAUUGGCUUACCAAGGCUUUGACGGGUAGCCGGCCUGAGAGGGUGACCGGCCACAUUGGGACUGAGAUACGGCCCAGACUCCUACGGGAGGCAGCAGUGGGGAAUAUUGCACAAUGGGCGGAAGCCUGAUGCAGCAACGCCGCGUGCGGGAUGACGGCCUUCGGGUUGUAAACCGCUUCCGCCUGUGACGAAGCGUUAGUGACGGUAAUGGGUAAAGAAGCACCGGCUAACUACGUG